AAAGGAAAACAUUGAACCGUGUGGAGCUGGGAGAAGUUGUCACAAGUUAAUUCAUGAGACAAAACUUUAAGACCACUGAAAAUACCAAAAACUUCCUACACUCUAUGAUGCUGCUGUAAGAAGCAAAUGAAUCAAGUGAAGAAAUCAAGCGUAGAAGCCUUCAGGUGUCACAGAAAUGGGUCCCGAUCGGGCCUCAAACCCUAAGACAUCAGAGCAUGAGACACCUGUGACGGAAAGUGGUUGUUUCAUGGAUUAAGCGCCUACGAGUAAAACCAACCUGCGAAUCCUGCAGAAUGUGCCUCGUUGCUGAGUCAUGCUGAAGUAUUACAGCUAAUAAAUGAAGAAGUAAUGGCAGAAUCAUCAUCACCAUCUUGCGACUUCCAAUGGAUUAAUGGAUCUAGGGAUUGAUCAUCAAUAGCUGCUAGUAUCACAAAGAGAGAAAACAGAUAUCACGUGUGCUUCCUGAUAGAAGAAUAGAGCAUCUAUAAAGCAGACCUACCAAAAAAGUAAAAAUAAGAUCUGAAGCUGAUCAAACCCAAGACCCAACUACCAAUUUACAGGAAAAACAGAAGACAAAGAUACAUGUACAAUAACACCACUGGGAUGCAGUCAGAAAACUGUAGACUGCUGGAAACUCCCCAUGGCUAACAACUCACUUCCUUCAAGAGAAGAAACAGAGAGAAAGAGAGACAAUGAGAGGUGGAGGGAGCAUCUAUAGGUGAACAGAAACAUAAUGAGUCAUACAGUCAGUCAAAUGUGUGGACCUUAUUUGGAUUCUGAAUCAAAUAAGGAAACAAAAAAAAUUAUGACGUUUAUGAGACAAUUUAAAAUUUGAAUACUGACUAGAUAUUUGAUAAUAUUAAGGACUUACUGCUAUUUUUUAGAUGUGAAAUGGUACUGUAGAGAUUCAUACAAAACUGUUUAUGGAAGAAAUUGUAUGGUGUCUGGAAUUUGCUUCAAAAUAGUGCAGAUGGGGUGGAGGAAGUGAGUUGGGGUAUAUAUAAAACAGUAUUGGCCAUGAGUUCAUAAACGUCGAAACUGAUUGAUAGGUACCUUUUUAUAUGCCUGAAAUCUUGUACAUGCUGUCUAUCUUUGUACAUGCUUUGAAUUUCCCAUAAUACAAAGUUAGAAAAUAACACCUACUAUGUACUAGGAACUAGGCUGGCAUUGACACACCUAAGCCAUGAAUUGGCAUGACAGAAAAACACAGUCAGAACUUUUCCUUCAUGACUUGCACAUAUGGGAAGGGAGAAGAAUUUGGUGGCAGCGCCCUUAACUCUCCCCUUACUUGAUGAGAUGAAUAUGCAGUUUCCUUUGCCAAAGUGGAAAUUGAGAGCAGAAUGCAACCCUGUCUAAACUGCUCCUCCGCGGAGCUUGUUGAAGGCCGGAACCAUUACUCAGGGUCCAGCUGCACAGCAUUCUCAUCCACCCAGAAACACAUGCAGAUAUGUGGGAGAUCAAAAUACGUCCACAUGUGGGUUUUAACAAAGAACAACCAGACAAAAGCCCCACAGAUGCAUCUGACCUCUCCCUUGGCCUCUGAUCCUUCCAUGGAAAUGUGAACUUUCCUUUGACACUCAUAGGACACCCUUUGGCCAUUAACAACAGUCCUAUGGAGAGUGGGCAGUGCCCUUUGGCUGCAUCAGGGGCAGGGGCCCAACGCUCUAAAUUGCUGGCAUUCACACCACAGUCUUCUCUCAUUACUGGGCCCCACCCUAUGUGGAGUUUAGCUGCAUGGUCCUUGAGGGUAAAAACAUAAAUUCAGCUGGGACAUUCCCCUGGUCAGAGUGGUGACCGUUAUUGUACAUGCCUGGGAUGUUUUCCCAAGGAAUCUGAGAAAAAAUGGCUUCAUCGGAGAGAGACACAUGGUAUCACAGAAGUGCCUGAAAGAGGGCUGGGCCGGGCAGAGGUCUCCUUGGUCUUGUCCUUGACUUGCAUUUGGCAUGCAGUGAGGGAGCACUCCUGUCAGGAUCCAUAUGGCUGUCUAUUCAUUCAAGUACUUACUGAGCCUGAACAUUAGAAACUCUGGAAGAUGUAAGGAAAAAAAAGACAGAAGAGCUGUCAAACAACUUCAAUUCAGGCCAGGGUGUGAUCAGACUGUGACCGAGGAGUUCAGAGCAGAGAGACAAUUUCCAACUGCAUUGGUGAAGUUGGAGGAGGUAAACUGGGAAGCAGACCUUAAAAGACAAUAAAAUUUCAAUUUCAAUAGUCAAGAGUCUGGAGGAGGAGGGUGGCACAGGUGCGCAAUGCAAGGAAAACAGAGAAUUCCAGGUGGAGGGACUGUCUUGAACAAAGUUAUGCAAAUAAGAUUUGCUAAAAUCUCCUGCGGGUGUAAUGAGUUAAAACAAUUGGCGGAAGGGGACCUCCAUAAAUGUAAGGAGUUCUGCAAACCUCCAGAACCAAUACGGCCCGUGUCACUUCCUUUUGUUCUUCACUAGUCUUUCAGAAUGCAGGUUAUCUUCUCUG
rnacentral:lncRNA from 1 species